GACGGGGGGGGCAAGUGUUCUUCGGAAUUACUGGGCGUAAAGCGUGCGCAGGCGGUUCGUUGUGUCGGUGGUGAAAGCCCCGGGCUUAACCUGGGAAUGGCCAUGGAAACUGGCGAACUGGAGUGUGGCAGAGGGGGUGGAAUUCCGCGUGUAGCAGUGAAAUGCGUAGAGAUGCGGAGGAACACCGAUGGCGAAGGCAGCCCCCUGGGCUAGCACUGACGCUCAGGCACGAAAGCGUGGGGAGCAAACAGG
rnacentral:rRNA from 1 species